UGCAUCACUAAAACUUAGUUAACCAUUUAUAUUAGAAAAUUUAGUUUGCAUCAAAUGAAGGUAACUGCAUUAGCUAAUCAAACUCAGUGCAUCAAUAGAAAGAAAACUAAUUACAUUAGUUGUAAUUAGUUACAUCGGUAAUAAACCAUGUUACAUCUAAGUAAGCAAAUUCAUUGUAUUAGUAAAUACCACACCAGUAAAAAGAAGAGGAAAAAUUUACAGUGCACAAGAGGACAAAAAUACACAAAAAUAUCUGAUUGAAGACCUUCACAUGUUAAACAAUUUUUUUUCACGCGUUACUCCUCCAAAUUCCACUCACUUGCACAAAAUCAGAGAUCCUCUCUAACUAAUUUCUUCUCAUCCAAAUUUCCACCUGAUUUUUUUCUCUGGCCUCAAAUCUCGCUAUAUACACAUUUAUUGAGGUCUCUCAAAAGGAACCCAAUUUUCACAUUGUUACUCUAUUGAAAUUCUUUCCCAACCUUGUCAAAAGCUCAAUAUAUGCAAACUAUUCAAAGUUUCUUACCAAAACUCCGAAGUAGUCGAGAUAAGCCUUCCACAACAAGCGUUAACAACCACACAGAAGUUUCAGUAAGAGAAGAAUCAAAUGAGACGAAGAGAACAUAAGCGAGCAGAAACGGACGAGAAGAGAGGAAAGCAGUAAAGCAGAAAGUAAACUCACUUGAGGUAUUAUCUUCACCAUUGCUAGAAACUUGCCAGAGUUUCAGACUCUGGCAAGGCCUUUUUAUGUUGUUAUAUAUCAUUUCCUUGCUUGAUGGUCGUUAUUCUGUGGAUUAUGUGCCUCGAAUCAUAUUUAAUUGCUUGAGUUUUUUUAUGAUUGACUUGAUUUUGAAAACUAGGGUUUAGGCUUGGUUACUAUCCAAUUUGCUUAAACAUAUUGUUCGAUUGCUAAAUUUAUAAGGGAUUUGGGUUUAGGUUAUGGGUUUGGAUUUUUCUUGUGUUGACAUGAUUUUGGUUUGAAGCCGGUUUAAUAAGAUCUAGGUUCUUGAGGAAGAACACAUUUGUGUUCAUCCAUCAUGUUCACGACAGGGGGGCUUGUUUGAUACAUUUUGCUGAACCCUUGAUUUGCUUUUCGUUUUGUGAAAUAUGUGAGAGGAAGAGUCAUGGCCGAUGGAAGUUAAUACACACACACACAGAGAGAGGUCAGUUUUUGAGGGAGAGGGAAAAAAGAUGAUUUAUGAGUAAAGUGAGAGAGAUGGCAAAUUUUAUUAUUCUGGUUAUGACUAUUAUUAUUUGUCAUGUUUAAUAAUACAUUUCCAUGUGUAUCUGGUCAAAAGCAUUUGACAUCUUGUUGGAGAGGGUCAUUUUUUGAAAACCCUACUAUCAACAUUUAUUAUUGGGGUUUGAAUUGAUCAAUCAAUCAAUUCUUGCAGUUGUACACGCAUGGGAGGGGAGGCCAGUAGGGCCUUUUGAGCUUCCUCCGUUUUUUUUUCUUGUGGAGCUAGGGUUUGGAGUUGUGUUGGGCCAUGUUACAUUUCUCUUACACGAGGCCACACCUCUCCAGAUUGCUGCAUCCCCAACUGAACUCGAUUGGGUCCUUCUUGGCAGCCAGUCUUUUAUUUGUUUUUAAUUACCCUAUAUUUUCUUGUUCCUAUUUAUUAUUUCAUUUUUUUUUCAUAAUUGUUUUUACCUAUUAAUUAAAAUCUAUUAAUAUUAGCGGAUUAUGUUAAUUAAAUUAAAUUAGUUUGAUUAAAUAGUUGGAUUAAAUCUUCCAAAU
rnacentral:lncRNA from 1 species